rnacentral:rRNA from 1 species
UACGGGGGGGGCUAGCGUGGUUCGGAAUUACUGGGCGUAAAGCGCACGUAGGCGGCUUUGUAAGUCAGAGGUGAAAGCCCGGAGCUUAACUCCGGAAUUGCCUUUGAGACUGCAUCGCUUGAAUCCGGGAGAGGUGAGUGGAAUUCCGAGUGUAGAGGUGAAAUUCGUAGAUAUUCGGAAGAACACCAGUGGCGAAGGCGGCUCACUGGACCGGUAUUGACGCUGAGGUGCGAAAGCGUGGGGAGCAAACAGG